UAAACGUGUGCCCAAGCAGUCUUCUCUGGU
rnacentral:piRNA from 1 species